UGUAACGAAGUACGUAGUUUAUUAUUUAAAAAAAAUUAAAAAAUCGUAGUUAAAUUAAGUCACCAUUGAAUCAGAAUCUUGAGUCCGCCACUUAUUAGCAAAUAACGUGUAAGACGUGAAAAUUGCUCCAAGUGUGUGUGAUCUUCAAAUAUAAGCCUCAAUACAUUUUAUACAGAGCAUUUUGUUCAUAGAAAAAUGUAAAUCGAUACAAACAAAAAUAGUGGGAAAAAGAAUCACAAAACACGCUUUAGUUUAAGAUAUUAGCCAGAAAAAAUCUUUUUACAUUAGAGGAAAAGAAUAUAAAAAUCAAACCAUCAAGUCAGUAUCAAGAUUUACAUUGAUCAGAUGUGAUGCUUCAGAUUGUUAGUAGCUCUAGCAGUUAGAUAAUCUCGACUUUUCGACACUUGUGAUGCUUUGUCUUCCAUUACUCUGGUCACAGACAAAUACAUGAAAUCACACGUGAAGUACUUGUAUAUGAGAGUAAUGGCGAACAUCUGAACCCUUUCGACCUUUCAGACAUCAGCAGGAACAAAUUUGGAAUCCUAUCUUUAAAUCAAACUUCAUCCUUCAUGAAUCAAGAUCCUUGGCUAUCAAAGCAAUCCUCUGCUUAGCACUGUCCGACCGGAGAUUGUCUCCUUUAAAUCCCAGCUAAAGUUAAAACAAUCAAAACAUCGUU
rnacentral:lncRNA from 1 species